CAGUCGCCACGGUAAUACGAAGGGGGCUAGCGUUGUUCGGAUUUACUGGGCGUAAAGGGCGCGUAGGCGGACUGAUAAGUCAGGGGUGAAAUCCCAAGGCUCAACCUUGGAACUGCCUUUGAUACUGUUUGUCUUGAGUUCGAGAGAGGUAAGUGGAACUGCGAGUGUAGAGGUGAAAUUCGUAGAUAUUCGCAAGAACACCAGUGGCGAAGGCGGCUUACUGGCUCGAAACUGACGCUGAGGCGCGAAAGCGUGGGGAGCAAACAGGAUUAGAUACCCCCGUAGUCCCUGUCUCUUAUAC
rnacentral:rRNA from 1 species